rnacentral:misc_RNA from 1 species
GUACAUUAGUAAUGCACGAAUCGCGAUAGGGUGACCUGUGUAGUGUACUCGUUGCACACAGUACAUGUAUGUGCAGUGUACUAUGACCGCGUGUGCUUUCAUACAAGCUUUUUUUGUGUGGUGGGGGAAUAACUGCACACGCACGCAGGCGACCCUAGGUUAUUUCGUCUGUGGUUAUUUUUGACCGCGGUCAAAAUGGCGUCUAGUCGCGCGGGAAAGGAGUCUCUUUUGUCGGACACUAAGCAAGUUUUCCCAGUCAGCGUCCAUGCAAGUGGCGGUGGGAAUGGUGACCGGACCAUCCCGGAUGAGACUGGUAACAUGGGAGGACGGAUGGGGUACAGUUUAAGAGAGGACCGCAAGCGUUCCUUCGCCGAGUUUGACGGCGCCGAAUCGGACCAUUAUCCGUACUCGGAGGAGGAAGGUGCCGGUGUGAGCCCGGCCCCGGAAUGUUCGACCCGCGCUGUGCCCUCCCUCCUGGAUUUCAGCGUCCUAAGCGAGGAAAGACCGGCCAAGCCUCGGGUCCGCAACUGGACACAUCCCGAGACCAAGACCUUGCUGGCCAUCUGGGGCGAUCCGGAGGUGCAGGUUCAUCUCAAAAGCGCUGUGCACAAUAACUGGAUCUGGGAGCGGAUUAGCGUGCUGCUCGGGCGGCGGCACGGGGAGUUCCAGCCGCCGCGUACGGCGGCGCAGUGCAAGGAGAGGCUGACCUAUCUCCGGAAGCAGUACCGGAAGACUGCUAGACUGAGGGCACGCGGCAAGUGGCCCAACGUGGGAAACAUACAGAUUUACCUGGAUGAAAUACAUACCAUUCUAGGAAAACGAACUCCAGCCAGCGCGAGGUCCACAGCGCCCUCAUCGGCGGCCCCGUCCACCACGUCCAGAGCCACAACCUCGGACCCGACGUUCCAGCCGUCCUCCACCGCGCACCAGACCCCGGCGGCUCCUCCGCAGCAAAUACCUGCCCCAUCCCUGCCGGAGGUGCCGGAGAGCGACUACGAAGAGAACGAGGAUGAGGAGGAUGGGGACCUCGAGGAAACCGAAGAAAAUGACAUACGGGACCUCUUCGCUCAGAACCAGACUCAAGGCCAGGAGAUGAAUUAUUCAGCCGGGAUGUCAGAAAACAACGAUCCCACCUACGAUCCCACCGCUGCCACCAACUCGGCCAAGCCAAGCAAGAGAGUGGCCUCCUCGCACAACCAACAGCAGCACAACUCGAAGAAAUCCCGCGGCCGUCCAAAGAGCGGCGCACCUCCGCCCAGGGACGAUUUGACUGUAGCCCAGGCCAUCACAGACGCUGUCAUGCGCUUCAUCGACCACCAGUCCCACCACCUGACAGAGCAGACCAAGCUCCUGCAGCGAUACCUCAAGUUCGAACGGGCCCGGAUGCGCUGGGAGAUGGACAUGGAGACACGAAGGAUGAAAUGGGAGGAGGAGCGGGAGAUGAGGGAAGAGGAAAGGCGGCAGAGACAGGAGGAGCUACAAGCCAAGCGAGUCUCGGACAACAGGGAGUUCAUGCUUCAGAUGGCUGUUGUCUUGGGGAACGAAGCAGCAACUGGGACUAGCCAGGACAGAGACAGUACUGAGAACUGAUAGCUGAUAGAAUCCCGUGCUCCCACCUGCCAUCUCAUUGGAUCUCAAUCGGAGUUCAAUAAUCGAGUCAUGAUGUAACAGUGCAUGAACGAUGACUUUGUUACAGUAAAUCUGAAUAGCUUGCGACUUGACUUGAGUCCGAUUGACUUGUGGUAACCUGUGACAUCUUUAUUGCAACUCAACAUACUCAAAAUGAAGCAGAACUACCUAGAACCGUUGCAUAACAGUAUUAGGACGGAUCCACAACAUAAUAGUCUCGUUGUACUUGCCAGUCAGCCAUUUUCGGUUUAUUUUAAUAUUUUUUACUUUCCGUUUUUUAUCACAUUCUCCUCCCCCAAUACACGACCUUUGACCCCUUUAGUGCCUGAAGGCUGAUGAGAUGUAGGACGCUUUGACAUGGUCUAAGUAAGUUCGCAAGAUUUAACUCUUGCCAAAUAUGGUGCUGCAUUUUCUGUCAGGAGCCUUGCUCAUUCAGAUGCAAAAGCAUACGAAGUCAUGUGAUGGUUUUGCUCGGCACCUAAAUUUGCUGAGCCGUAUUUGUUUACUUUGCAGCUUUAUGGUACUGUGCUUGCGGGUCUUGUUCCUGAAGAUUAUGCGAAUAGCAAAACGAAGGUCGUUUUCCCUGCAGUGGGUUGUUACUCAAUUCAAGCAAAGGGUAGAAGUGACUUAAUUUUGAUAUCCAACACAGUAAAGGAAAACCAAAAUUGGGCAAAUACCCGUUUAAAGAGUUUGUAAUACAUCUUUGUACUUCUUCUUGUAUUAUUGUGCCCAUCGUGUUCGUUGAAUAAACAGCCGCGUUUUAAUAA